rnacentral:tRNA from 1 species
AGCAAGGUCAGCUAAAUAAGCUCUUGGGCCCAUACCCCUAACAUGUUGGUUAAAAUCCUUCCUUUGCUA